GAUCCUGGCUUAGGAUGAACGCUAGCGGCAGGCUUAACACAUGCAAGUCGAGGGGCAGCGCGAGUAGCAAUACUUGGCGGCGACCGGCGCAAGGGUGCGUAACGCGUGAGCAACAUGCCCGUAUCAGGGGGAUAAUCCAGGGAAACUUGGUCUAAUACCCCAUAGUAAUUUUGUAAGGCAUCUUAUAAGAUUUAAAGCUUUGGUGGAUACGGAUUGGCUCGCGUGACAUUAGCUGGAUGGUAAGGUAACGGCUUACCAUGGCUAUGAUGUCUAGGGGUUCUGAGAGGAAGGUCCCCCCACACUGGAACUGAGACACGGUCCAGACUCCUACGGGAGGCAGCAGUGAGGAAUAUUGGACAAUGGAUGGAAAUCUGAUCCAGCCAUGCCGCGUGAAGGAAAAGAAGGUCCUAUGGAUUGUAAACUUCUUUUGUAUGGGAGCAAUAAGGCCUACGAGUAGGUUGAUGAGAGUACCAUACGAAUAAGCACCGGCUAACUCCGUGCCAGCAGCGGC
rnacentral:rRNA from 1 species